GAUGAACGCUGGCGGCGUGCCUAAUACAUGCAAGUCGAGCGGACAGACGAGAAGCUUGCUUGUCUGACUUUAGCGGCGGACGGGUGAGUAACACGUGGAUAACAUACCUAUAUGGCUGGGGUAACUUCCGGAAAACGGUGCUAAUACCGGCUGAUCUUUUGAACAGCAUGGUUCAAAAGUUUAAGACGGUUUUGCUUUCGCUUAUAGCUGGUUCCGCGCGGCAUUAGCUAGUUGGUGAGGUAACGGCUUACCUAGGCGACGAUGCCUAGCCGACCUGAGAGGAUGAUCGGCCACACUGGAACUGAGACACGGUCCAGACUCCUACGGGAGGCAGCAGUAGGGAAUAUUGCGCAAUGGGCGAAAGCCUGAUGCAGCAACGCCGCGUGUGUGAAGAAGGUCUUCGGAUUGUAAAGCACUGUUAGCGGGGAGGAAGAGAGUUGGAAGAAUAUGUGCACUCAUUGACGGUACCUGAACAAAAAGCACCGGCUAACUACGUG
rnacentral:rRNA from 1 species